rnacentral:rRNA from 1 species
AACGAACGCUGGCGGCAUGCCUAACACAUGCAAGUCGAACGAAGUCUUCGGACUUAGUGGCGCACGGGUGCGUAACGCGUGGGAAUCUGCCCUUGGGUUCGGAAUAACAGUGAGAAAUUACUGCUAAUACCGGAUGAUGACUUCGGUCCAAAGAUUUAUCGCCCAAGGAUGAGCCCGCGUAAGAUUAGCUAAUUGGUGAGGUAAAGGCUCACCAAGGCGACGAUCUUUAGCUGGUCUGAGAGGAUGAUCAGCCACACUGGGACUGAGACACGGCCCAGACUCCUACGGGAGGCAGCAGUGGGGAAUAUUGGACAAUGGGCGAAAGCCUGAUCCAGCAAUGCCGCGUGAGUGAUGAAGGCCUUAGGGUUGUAAAGCUCUUUUUACCCGAGAUGAUAAUGACAGUAUCGGAGAAUAAGACUCCGGCUAACUCCGUG